rnacentral:tRNA from 1 species
GGAUUGUGGCUCAGUGGUAGAGUGCUCUCCUAGCACGUGUAAAGGCCUGGGUUCGAUCCUCAGCACCA